CGUCAAAGCCAGUAUUAAUUUUCCAAAACAAAAGAGAAAUUUUAGAAAUUUCGGAGUUAAAAUGAAACUUAUUGAAGAUUGGAUUAUAGAAUAAGUUUGCCAACCGAAAUCAGCUUCUAGUGCAGAAAAUACCUACUGAAUUUUUAGAAAUGAUCAAGAAAUAACUCAUAUGCGCCGAGUUUGAAUCAAAUGUUUCUGAACAAAAAAUUAAAAUUAAGCAUUCUCAUUUUAAAGACUAAAGAUUGUUUACGGAACUGGCAGCCGCUUUAAAAGGCAAUAAGAAUAAUGGAAAAGUGCGAAAAAUCAGCAGUGCGAUCGAUAGCAGGUCCAUGAUCUUUACUUCAUUCCUCCAGCAAUUAAUAAAUUAACGAUUCAAAAUGUUAUGUAGUAUUUUUUAUACGAAGAAGUUCCCAGCAAAGUCAUCAUAGAAAUAAAAUUGUAGCAUUGAAUAAGGAAUCCAGGU